rnacentral:ncRNA from 2 species
AUAAACAGAAGAGGUGCGAAGGCCAGGUAGAACAUACGAGGACGCGGUGUCCGAUGAUGAUGUUUCGAGGGGGACCUUCGCCGAGGGGGAAUAACCACCGUACAGUUAUUUUCUCGGUUUAAGAGGCUGAAUCCUCUGAACUGUCACCUAUUUUGGUGGAGAGCUUCUGGCAGU